UGGGAUGUAGCUCAGUGAUAGAGUGCUUGCCUAGCAUGCAUGAGGUCCUGGGUUUGAUGCCCAGCACCACAA
rfam:Ictidomys tridecemlineatus contig065770, whole genome shotgun sequence.